rnacentral:pre_miRNA from 1 species
ACUGUUAUCUACAGCUUUAGAAAUCAUCCCUUUUUUAGAUGUGUAAAUAUAUAAAUAAAUUGAAGCACAUUGCUAGAAAGGGAUGAUUUCUAAAGCUCUAGAUAACGUU